ACCGGGCGUGGUGGCCCACACCUGUAAUCCCAUUUGCUCAGGAGGCUGAGGCAGGAGGAUCCCGAGUUCAAAGCCAGCCUCAGCAAUGGCAAGGCAUUAAGCAACUUGGUGAGACCCUGUCUCUA
rnacentral:sRNA from 1 species